GGGCCCGGCUAGCCGCUACGGGGUCGCAGACCCCGAGGAAACUCCGCACUCCCCGCGGCCGCCACGGCCCCGAAAAGGGGCACGGGUAGCACCCGUGGCUCCGGCACAGAAACGACACGGCCGCUACCGGAUGUCUAUGAGGCGGCGAGGGCUCCCCGGCAACGGGGAGCCGGUAACCCGCCGAGUAUGGUAGCGGAUGCGUUGAAACGGCCGGUCCCGUGGGGAGCAAGGCCCUGUGUCCCGGGAUGAGGUGGCCGCGCGACCCGGGAGGUGGGCCGCUUAGUCGAAUGCGGCUGUAGUACAGAAUGCGGGUUAUAGCCGGGCCC
rnacentral:RNase_P_RNA from 1 species